rnacentral:lncRNA from 1 species
AAUAAAUUCAUUACGACAUUGUUUUGCAAGUAAACAAACAUCACAAUUCUUGGGAUAUGCCUUAUUUUUUGUAGUAUCAACCAUUGGCAACAAUUUAAUAACUUUUUCAGAAGGGUGGCCCAACCUCUGAUGCCAAAGAGCAACUGUCCCUUUUGCAACAAUCUGCAAUGCUCUUGUAGAUUCAAUUUCUCGAAAGUAGUAAAGCCCCCCGCGUUGUUCACCCGCACCAAUCAGCAUCCUCGAAGUGCGGUCAUGUAUAACACAAAAUUUAUUAGUGAACUGGAUAAUACAAUUUGAUUCUUCGACCAAUUGUGACACUGAAAUCAGAUUACAAUUCAAACUAGGCACAUAUAACACAUUGGUUAAUUUUAGACGUCCAUCAAGGACUAUAUUCCCUUUCUUCUCUGCCAUUACUUCUUUCCCAUCUGGUAGACCAACUGGGCAUGCGAUUACAGUCUUCACGUCACAUAGCAAUUUGAGGCUCCCUGUCAUAUGAUGAGAUGCUCCGGUAUCAAUUAUCCAAGCUCUCAUAUUAUGCUCACCAUUUAGUUUUUCUUGAUUCUUUUCCGUCUGUGAGUUCAAAAGAUUAAGAAGCAUACUCCAUUGCUCGUUACUCAGCCCUUUGACUCCAGUUUUAUCUACAUCUGAGACAUGGCCCUGUAUGCCACUUCCUUGACUUGUCA